UAAAACAUUCUUAAGUCUGAGAAUGUUCUCAAGUCUGAGAAUAUUCUCAACUCCCCAAUUCUCAAACUCAGCCGCCGCCAUAAAAAAGUUGAGCAAAAUAAAAAUUCUCAAAUUCUGUUUUAUUCUCAAAUAUUUGAGUCUACAAAAAUGUAGACUUAAGAAUAUUCUCAAGCAAACAAAAUGGCUGCCGCUUACAGAAGAUUGCAUCGAAAUCGAAGACGACCUAAUGUUUUAGUUCGUCCGAUGGUUUUAAGAUAUAGAAGUAAUCCCUUGGAUCAAUCGGAGACGAUUGAGGAGUUCGAAAUCUAUCAUCGUGAUAGAUGUUGUCCCAACACCAUUAAUUUCAUCGUCAAUGGUGUUUAGGAUCAGCUGAUCACAGACACCAAGAGGGCUCCACUUCUGUAGGUCUUACUGUGUUUUUGCGUUUUGUUGCGACUGGGGCCCACCUUCGCCUGAUUGUGGACAGUCUCGGAAUUUCAGCGUCAUCUGUUGGAAGAUCCGUCAGAGCUGUUGCUGCCGCCAUCGUCGCUGUUUUUGCCAGAUCCCAAUUCAUCUUCCCUGUCGGUGAAGUGGCAACAAAAGUGAAGGAGGGUUUCAAAAGAGUUGCAGGGUUUCCUAAAAAGCUAGGAUGCAUUGAUGGAACUCAGAUGGUGUGCAGCUCCUCUUUUAGAGUAACUUCACUGUGUGCAAGUUGGCCUGGCUCAUGUCACGACUCCAGAAUUUGGAGAAAUUCCCAUCUUUGCCAACAGUUUAAAAAUGGAUUGCAUGAUGGGAUAUUGCUGGGAGAAUCCGGACACCCCCUUACACGACAUCUAAUGACACCAUACUUGACACCUUCGAAGCGGUCUGAGGAAAAGAUUAAUGCCAGUCUUUACCAAACCAGAGUGUUGAUCUAGCAGACUUUUGGAAUCAUGAAAAGACGAUUUCAGACUCUCCAGGUUGGGUUCAGGGUUUCCCCUCACCUGGCUGUGUAGUACAUUACAGCAUGUGACAUCUUACACAAUUUAGGAAUUGAAAGGGGUGACAUUUCUAUUCAGGAGAACUAUACAGACAUAAAUGUAGCUUAAUGCAUUCCGGUAAAUACUGUGGAACCAGGACAGGUCCGAAAUGAUAGUUUGCUCAAUAGAGCAGAGUGUUUUUCUAAAUGAAAUAUAAUAAAGAAUAUGGUUACAGAAUAAUUUGUUUUACCCUGAAUUUCUGUUGAAUGAUAACAAGUCACUGUCAGACACAGUAAAUUCAUUUCAAUUUUUUUCUAUCUCCAGUACAUGAAUUAAAC